ACUAUGUGAUAAAGAGUUCCAGUGUGGCCUGUUGACUUAAGAGAGCAUGAAGGAGUAAUUUCAUGGCCAAUAAAGCCUUCUCUUAAGGAGGUCUUACAUGGAAAGGGACAUUGGCUUUCUUUUACAAGUCAUACAGAGAUGAUGCUUAGUGAUCUGUUAACACAUGAAAAAAACAAAUGAACACUGCAGUCGAUGUGUGGGUUUCAGUUUGUGAAUCAUACUGGCACUUCCAGAUACAUGGAAAACAAACUUGCAAGGGCAUGGAGAUGAUUGGGGGAGAUCUGUUUUGUUGCCCUGCCCUAGCUAUGAGGGCAACAAAAAUGCAGCUACCUGAUGGCUUGUAUGACACAAAUGGAUGAUGGGUACUCCUCCCCUGCAUUCCCUGCUGGCAUAUUUAGCUGAUGGGUGGUCUUUGUAGAAUGGACUCAGAGGAAGAAUUCCCUCUCUGUUCCAGCUGAUUGUCAUAAAACUAUUCUGGCUGUCCUCUCUGUCAUUAGAUCUCAAUGUGAAUGGAUACCAUAGUAACAAAAA
rnacentral:lncRNA from 1 species